AUUGAACGCUGGCGGUAGGCCUAACACAUGCAAGUCGAACGGCAGCACAGUAAGAGCUUGCUCUUACGGGUGGCGAGUGGCGGACGGGUGAUGAAUACAUCGGAAUCUACUUUUUCGUGGGGGAUAACGUAGGGACACUUACGCUAAUACCGCAUACGACCUACGGGUGAAAGCAGGGGAUCUUCCGACCUUGCGCGAUUGAAUGAGCCGAGGUCGGAUUAGCUAGUUGGCGGGGUAAAGGCCCACCAAGGCGACGAUCCGUAGCUGGUCUGAGAGGAUGAUCAGCCACACUGGAACUGAGACACGGUCCAGACUCCUACGGGAGGCAGCAGUGGGGAAUAUUGGACAAUGGGCGCAAGCCUGAUCCAGCCAUACCGCGUGGGUGAAGAAGGCCUUCGGGUUGUAAAGCCCUUUUGUUGGGAAAGAAAAGCGGCAGGUUAAUACCCCGCUGUUCUGACGGUACCAAAAGAAUAAGCACCGGCUAACUUCGUG
rnacentral:rRNA from 1 species